rnacentral:rRNA from 1 species
UUGCUCGGAAUCACUGGGCGUAAAGCGCACGUAGGCGGCUUACUAAGUCAGGGGUGAAAUCCUGGAGCUCAACUCCAGAACUGCCUUUGAUACUGGUGAGCUUGAGUCCGGAAGAGGUGAGUGGAACUGCGAGUGUAGAGGUGAAAUUCGUAGAUAUUCGCAAGAACACCAGUGGCGAAGGCGGCUCACUGGUCCGGUACUGACGCUGAGGUGCGAAAGCGUGGGGAGCAAACAGG